UACGGAGGGUGCAAGCGUUGCUCGGAAUCAUUGGGCGUAAAGAGCAUGUAGGCGGCUUGGUAAGCCAGAUGUGAAAGCCCAGGGCUUAACCCUGGAAGUGCAUUUGGAACUGUCAAGCUAGAGUCUCGGAGAGGAAACUGGAAUUCCGGGUGUAGAGGUGAAAUUCGUAGAUAUCCGGAGGAACACCGGUGGCGAAGGCGAGUUUCUGGACGAAGACUGACGCUAAAGUGCGAAAGCGUGGGUAGCAAACAGG
rnacentral:rRNA from 1 species